rnacentral:rRNA from 1 species
ACCGUGAGCCAUGCCAUCCUGAAGGUGUCCCCAUCUUGUCUGAUCUCGGAAGCUAAGGGUCGGGCCAGGUUAGUACUUGGAUGGUUGGACCGCUUAGGAAUACCAGGUUCUGUAGAUG